rnacentral:rRNA from 1 species
CGCGAAGAACCUUACCUGGUCUUGACAUCCACGGAAGUUUUCAGAGAUGAGAAUGUGCCUUCGGGAACCGUGAGACAGGUGCUGCAUGGCUGUCGUCAGCUCGUGUUGUGAAAUGUUGGGUUAAGUCCCGCAACGAGCGCAACCCUUAUCCUUUGUUGCCAGCGGUCCGGCCGGGAACUCAAAGGAGACUGCCAGUGAUAAACUGGAGGAAGGUGGGGAUGACGUCAAGUCAUCAUGGCCCUUACGACCAGGGCUACACACGUGCUACAAUGGCGCAUACAAAGAGAAGCGACCUCGCGAGAGCAAGCGGACCUCAUAAAGUGCGUCGUAGUCCGGAUUGGAGUCUGCAACUCGACUCCAUGAAGUCGGAAUCGCUAGUAAUCGUGGAUCAGAAUGCCACGGUGAAUACGUUCCCGGGCCUUGUACACACCGCCCGUCACACCAUGGGAGUGGGUUGCAAAAGAAGUAGGUAGCUUAACCUUCGGGAGGGCGCUUACCACUUUGUGAUUCAUGACUGGGGUGAAGUCGUAACAAGGUAACCGUAGGGGAACCUGCGGUUGGAUCACCUCCUUACCUUAAAGAAGC